rnacentral:rRNA from 1 species
CAGUCGCCACGGUAAUACGUAGGUCCCGAGCGUUGUCCGGAUUUAUUGGGCGUAAAGCGAGCGCAGGCGGUUAGAUAAGUCUGAAGUUAAAGGCUGUGGCUUAACCAUAGUACGCUUUGGAAACUGUUUAACUUGAGUGCAAGAGGGGAGAGUGGAAUUCCAUGUGUAGCGGUGAAAUGCGUAGAUAUAUGGAGGAACACCGGUGGCGAAAGCGGCCCUCUGGCUUGUAACUGACGCUGAGGCUCGAAAGCGUGGGGAGCAAACAGGAUUAGAUACCCCAGUAGUCCCUGUCUCUUAUACA